rnacentral:rRNA from 1 species
AGAGUUUGAUCCUGGCUCAGGAUGAACGCUGGCGGCGUGCUUAACACAUGCAAGUCGAGCGAAGCACUUUUGCGGAUUUCUUCGGAUUGAAGCAAUUGUGACUGAGCGGCGGACGGGUGAGUAACGCGUGGGUAACCUGCCUCAUACAGGGGGAUAACAGUUGGAAACGGCUGCUAAUACCGCAUAAGCGCACAGUACCGCAUGGUACCGUGUGAAAAACUCCGGUGGUAUGAGAUGGACCCGCGUCUGAUUAGCUAGUUGGUGGGGUAACGGCCUACCAAGGCGACGAUCAGUAGCCGACCUGAGAGGGUGACCGGCCACAUUGGGACUGAGACACGGCCCAAACUCCUACGGGAGGCAGCAGUGGGGAAUAUUGCACAAUGGGGGAAACCCUGAUGCAGCGACGCCGCGUGAAGGAAGAAGUAUCUCGGUAUGUAAACUUCUAUCAGCAGGGAAGAAAAUGACGGUACCUGACUAAGAAGCCCCGGCUAACUACGUGCCAGCAGCCGCGGUAAUACGUAGGGGGCAAGCGUUAUCCGGAUUUACUGGGUGUAAAGGGAGCGUAGACGGCAUGGCAAGCCAGAUGUGAAAACCCAGGGCUCAACCCUGGGACUGCAUUUGGAACUGCCAGGCUGGAGUGCAGGAGAGGUAAGCGGAAUUCCUAGUGUAGCGGUGAAAUGCGUAGAUAUUAGGAGGAACACCAGUGGCGAAGGCGGCUUACUGGACGGUAACUGACGUUGAGGCUCGAAAGCGUGGGGAGCAAACAGGAUUAGAUACCCUGGUAGUCCACGCCGUAAACG